CGCGGGAUGGAGCAGUCUGGUAGCUCGUCGGGCUCAUAACCCGAAGGUCGUAGGUUCAAAUCCUGCUCCCACAA
rnacentral:tRNA from 2 species